AGCUACAUGUUCUUUAACAAAUUGUAUGAUUCCUCGAUCUUUCGACUAAGUAGAGGGAAGAGAAAGCAUUACAUCACAACAGUGCAAGAAUGCUGUGCCACCCUCGUGGGUACUAAAUCUAGUCCGUCUCAAAUUUCAUGGCUUUUCAGCGAACACGAAUUCCACUCAUCUGAACUGAAACCUUUUCCUUUUAUUGUCAAAACAACGAUCAAAUUUGUUUCUUCUCCUAAACCAUUUUUCAAAAGCAAUUAUGAAAGCAAAAUGUAUCCCCAAAAUAUACCUUGCUCCCUCUAACCUAAAAGCCAAUUCCUUAGGACAACCCACUUCAAACAAUCACCAGUCCUCAUUUUUAAUAUUCUAUCAAGUCAAAAUGUAUCAAACUUAAUUAUUAUAAUCAACUGCCCUAAAAAUGCCACUAUCCUGCUUUGGGCUAUGCUCGGAAGUCUCAGAUCGACCAUCAUGUCAUCAAGGAUUCAAAGCAUAGGGACCAACAGUCCUGAAAGUAGCUGAGACAGUGGUAUGAAGAUAGGCCUCCCAUGAUCACGGACACUGAUGUCUUGGUACUCACCACCGUUAUCGGUCGAAGUCACGGGUGAAAAUGGAAACUCGGGUAGGAGACAGGCGUGACGAUGAAAAAACACCGAGAAGCACUCUACACCGCACUAAUACUGGAUUCGAAUGGCUGUUCUCGCGUCGUGACCGUCCUAGUCAUAGCCAGGGGUUUGCACACGGCACGUGUGCAUCGGAACGUCAGUGCUGUUGACGACAACGUCGCGGUGGCAGAGGGAGUACAAGCCGCCUUCCAUCUAGCGGGGGUGUUACACUAUACUUUGAGAUGGCUACUGGAUAGCGAGGUUAACAAAAUUUGGUAUACUUGGCAAGAGUGAUCCUUGAAGUUCUUGUGAUGCAGCACAGCUAAUCCUUCAAGUUUGUAUGAUUAAUUAGCAAACUUUGGUGAACUUGGUAUGAGGAUGUUUGAAGUUCCUGUAAAGUAGCACAGUGAAACCUUGAAAUUUGUGGAAUUGAUUACUAAAGUUUAGUAUGAUUGGUAAAGAUGAUCCCUGAGGUUCUUAUAAUUUGGGGAACUGGCCAACAUCUGUCAAUACUGUCAUGAAUCAACCUGAUCGCGAUAUGGCACUUCGGUAUUCGUUUACAUUCUACUACAGAGGGAAAUGUGUUUUCUGAGCGAUGAACCAGCGAAGACACACCGAAAUAAAUUUAUUACUCAUACAUUUUGGACUAACUCCCGGAGCAUAAUGGCAUCCGCGAUGAACGGCAACGCGAUACGAUAAUGUUUUCUAGGUUAACACUGAUUCAACAUUGGUGGUCCAUCGAUCAAAAUCGAUGAUAUAGCAGACAUAAGUAAUACAACUUCAUUUCUUAAAUAAAAAUAUAAAGUAACAUUUCUCAACACAGAUCCCAUAUUUUAAAUAGAGAUCUUCAUAAACUUAACCUCCACUAUUUUAACCCUACCAGUUCAAACAGCAAAGUCAGGGUAAUUAACGAAUGGAGGAUGGUUCCAGUUUAUUUCGAAACGAAACGAGGAUAGAAGAUAGUUGUGCAAGGAUCGAAUUCCAUUUCUUUUCGUUAGUCGGUUGUAGGAGGGCAAAAAGGGGCGGUCUUUCCAAAAAGCUGUCGGUAACGAACGGGCUAAGCCGAGUGAGAGCCGUAAGCCACGGCUGUGGGAACACACUCAUCCACUAUUAAUAGCACCUUGCUCAAAUUUCUAUUUUUAGAAGGACUUAUAUACGUGCACGUGGCUUUAUGUAAAAACCUCCCUGCGAAUGUAUGAUCGUGUGUACGCCCACGCGAAUGCUGCGCGGCCCCGACUGUGCUUGGGCCAUUGUGGUGAGCUUCCUUCUUCGAACUUUCUUCCUUUUGCUUGGAAACCAUCCACCCGACAAUCUUGAUAUCUUCUUGUAAAUUGGACAGUAUUAGACUUCUAAGUUCCAACGUUUAUUUGAUAAUCUAUCAACAAGAAUCAAACCUAACCUCACUUAACCUAACCUAAACCAUUGUGGCAAAUUUUAAUUCUUUUGCCUAGAAAUUAUUAAUUCCUUCUUUUCGUAAUUUUUUAUUUAAAAGAUAAAAAGUUAUUCUUUCUUAAUAAUCCUUCAUGCGAAGUUCAAUGAACCAGAGGAAUAGUGUGAAGAGCUCUAUCAAGAAUCAAGUACGAUUUCUCUCUAUUUCUAUUUUAACAGAAGGAUCAUAAGAAAUAUAUGAGAUUCCGUGCAUAUAAUUAGAACAUUAGCUGGAGACACUGAAGCGUAAUCGUGAAGCCAUUAUCUGUUUGAUUGACACCAGAAUUCAAUUAGAUCCUGAGAAUGAGUGCCCGUUCGAUCCACCGCUGUGGCUUUCGUGUCAAAAAUAACGAAACCUGCCGCAAAAGAGGAAGUGCUUAAAAAUUCAUGAUACCAGGAAAACUGGUCGUUUUAUUUAUAUUUAACGGAAAGGGUGCAACGAUCUCGAGGUGGAUGCACAUCGAAUUCCGUCAGCAUUCUUUCCAUUUACUUUUUUAUAAAAUUAUGAAUAAAAAGCUAUUUAAAAAUUAUUCAAAAUUAACUAAUUACUUUUAUACAAAUUUUUAAUGGAAAUCCGAAUAAAUUUUGCAGCAUUCAGGAGAUUCUCCAAUUACGUUAAAAAUGCUUAAUUAGAUUUACAUUUUAUCUUAAUUAAUUUUCACCGGGCAUUAACGUAAGAAGCUGAGUGAUGCAUCAAGUUCGAUCAUUAUCUGAUGCAGAUUUCAAUUAUCUCGUUAAAGAUCAAGUCAAUAACGAGAUGAUAGUUUACACGACAACGAGGAACCAUGUAGAUAGCUAUUAGUAGCGAUUAAAUCGAAUUUGUGCAGCGCAUAAUGCAGAAUUCUUGACUCGUUCCACUUGACCGUCUCUCUCCUUCACCCCUUCUUCGUAGCCUGAAAUUAUUUCCGUCCCGUGCUGCGGGUGUUACAUGAUCGCGGAAGAGCUCUCGCCCGAGUAAUCCCUUGAAAAGCAUUCAUUUAAUAUUUUCACCACCCCCAUCAAUCAUAAAAUUCCAUCUUCAACCGCCAAACGGUAGCCAGGUGAAUCCUGACCCAGACCUGCCAAAUGUGUACGUAAUUUCUGGUAAAAACCUCGGUAAUAAUAUUAAACAUAUGUUCUAUCAACAAUUUUAGUACUCUGACAACCAAAAUUACUAUAGGAACAAAAAAAGAAUGAGUAAAAUCUUUCAAACAUGUGCAAAGACAAAUCGAAGCAAUUUGUCAGCUAUGAAAUCACGCAUAAAAAUAACACCGUUGUUUACAAA